rnacentral:rRNA from 1 species
AACGAACGCUGGCGGCAGGCUUAACACAUGCAAGUCGAACGAUAUCUUCGGAUCUAGUGGCAGACGGGUGAGGAACACGUGGGAACAUCCCUUUCAGUUCGGAAUAACGUUGGGAAACUAACGCUAAUACCGGAUACGUCCUUCGGGAGAAAGAUUUAUCGCUGAAAGAUUGUCCCGCGUCUGAUUAGCUAGUUGGUGAGGUAAUGGCUCACCAAGGCUACGAUCAGUAGCUGAUCUGAGAGGAUGAUCAGCCACAUUAGGACUGAUACACGGCCCAAACUCGUACGGGAGGCAGCAGUGGGGAAUAUUGGACAAUGGGCGCAAGCCUGAUCCAGCCAUGCCGCGUGAGUGGUGACGGCCUUCGGGUUGUAAAGCUCUUUUGUCCGGGAAGAUAAUGACUGUACCGGAAGAAUAAGCCCCGGCAAACUUCGUGCCAGCAGCCGCGGUAA